GAAUAUUAGUCAAUGCUCGCAAGAGUGAACUAGCUAACUGAAAUCAUAAUUGUGUCAAAUUUAUGAUGUCGUAAGGGAAAAUAAUGAUAUUACCUUACUAAUAGUGUCGUCAAAAACUGGUGCCAGAAGACUCGGUAAGGCCAGAGACGCGAACGUUAAUCGUCUUAAUCAGGCGUAAAGGGUUUGUAGGCUGCUUUGAAAAUAUUCAUUUAAUAUAGCGAAAGUAAAUGAAUAUCAAUUAAAGCUAGAAUCUAAUAGAGGAUAUUUACGAAAUAAUGCUUGAUAGAGGGCUGAGAUCCGAAGACAUCAAGUGGAGUUCUAAUGGCGUAGGCAUUUAUCCAUUAAAGAUUGACGCUGAGAAACGAAGGUGAGGGUAGGAAAUAGGAUUAGAGACCCAGAUACUCCUCUCUGUCAACGAUGAAUGGUAGUUUGUUAGUCUCUUAAGACUAGUGACGAAGUUAACACGAUAACCAUUCCGCCUUGUGAGUACGACUGCAAAGUUGAAAACAAAAAAAUUAGUCGGUCUCGGAGCAAACGAAGUGAAGUAUGUUAUUUAAUUC
rnacentral:rRNA from 1 species